AGUCCCAUGACGCAGUGGUUAGCGUGUCGUUCUUAUAUGGAUCUGGUUUCGGAUUGGAUCAAUAUGGGUCAAGUCGCCAUCUAUGUGAUGCGAACGUCGCGGGUUCGAAUCCCGCUGGGACUA
rfam:Xylona heveae TC161 unplaced genomic scaffold L228scaffold_1, whole genome shotgun sequence.